AUUGAACGCUGGCGGCAUGCCUUACACAUGCAAGUCGAACGGCAGCACGGGGGCAAUCCUGGUGGCGAGUGGCGAACGGGCGAGUAAUGUAUCGGAACGUACCUUUCAGUGGGGGAUAACGUAGCGAAAGUUACGCUAAUACCGCAUAUUCUGUGAGCAGGAAAGCAGGGGAUCGCAAGACCUUGCGCUGAUUGAGCGGCCGAUAUCAGAUUAGCUAGUUGGUGAGGUAAAGGCUCACCAAGGCGACGAUCUGUAGCGGGUCUGAGAGGAUGAUCCGCCACACUGGAACUGAGACACGGUCCAGACUCCUACGGGAGGCAGCAGUGGGAAUUUUGGACAAUGGGCGCAAGCCUGAUCCAGCCAUGCCGCGUGAGUGAAGAAGGCCUCGGUUGUAAG
rnacentral:rRNA from 1 species